rnacentral:tRNA from 1 species
GUCCAGGGGCGGGAAUCGGACCCACGACCUUCCGCUUACCGGGCAGAUGCCAUGUCCACUAGGCUACCCUGGA